CUCCUCUCUCUGGGUUUGAUUCGCUUCGGAAAUGGCGGCAUCACUCCAGUCGGCAGUGUUCCUCUCAAAUCGUAUUGAUCCGCACAGGCGUCUCUUUGCAUCCCCUGCGAGAUCUCUUCCAGGAACGAAAGGAAGCAUCUUGGUUGUUAGAUCUGAUGGAAGGAUCUCCGGUAGGCUCAGUGGAAGGAAUUUGAUCACAAAUGCCGUUGCAACGAAGGCCGAUACUCCUACAAGUUCCACCGACUCUAAACCU